rnacentral:rRNA from 1 species
CCUACGGGUGGCAGCAGUGAGGAAUAUUGGUCAAUGGGCGCGAGCCUGAACCAGCCAAGUCGCGUGCGGGAGGACGGCCCUACGGGUUGUAAACCUCUUUUGCCGGGGAGCAACGCGCGUCACGUGUGGCGCCACUGAGAGUACCCGGAGAAAAAGCAUCGGCUAACUCCGUACAAGCACCCGCGGUAAUACGGAGGAUGCGAGCUUUAUCCGGUUUUAUUGGGUUUAAGGGGUGGGUAGGCGGAUGGUUAAGUCAGUGUGAAAUGUGGGGGGCCCACCCCCUUCCCGCCAUUGAAACUGGUGCUCUUGAGUGGAAGAGAAGUAUGCGGAAUGCGUGGUGUAGCGGUGAAAUGCAUAGAGAUCACGCAGAACCCCGAUUGCGAAGGCAGCAUGCCGGCUUCCGACUGACGCUGAAGCACGAAAGCGUGGGGAUCGAACAGGAUUAGAUACCCGGGUAGUC